AACGUGACGGCGACGACCGGUUCCGCAAGGAUCAAAAGGGAACGCCGAAGGGAAGAGGCAGGCCUCGCGCCUGCCGGAGCCCCAGCGGCGGCUGCCCCCGCAACUGUGAACGGCGAGCCCGCCAUCGCGAAACGGCCACUGGCAUUCGUGCCGGGAAGGCCUGAUGGCGGGCGAUGACCCGUGAGCCAGGAGACCUGCCGGACGUCAGAAACCACC
rnacentral:ncRNA from 2 species